rnacentral:sRNA from 1 species
GUUUCGAUCUGCUGAGGGCAGAUGAAGUGGAUGUGGGUGUCGAUACCUCCAGCGGUGAGGAUGUGGCCUUCACCGGCGAUCGCCUCGGUGCCGGGUCCAACCACGAUCGUCACCCCUUCCUGGGUGUCGGGGUUGCCGGCCUUGCCGAUGCCAACGAUGCGACCAUCUUUGAGGCCCACGUCGGCUUUGACGAUCCCCCACCAGUCGAGGAUCAGAGCGUUGGUGAUCACGGUGUCGACGGCACCGCCAGCUCGUGAGGUUUGGGCCUGGCCCAUGCCGUCGCG